UAACUCGUGCCAGCAGCCGCGUAAUACGAGGGGUGCAAGCGUUAAUCGGAAUUACUGGGCGUAAAGCGUUCGUAGGCGGUUUGUUAAGCAAGAUGUGAAAGCCCAGGGCUCAACCUUGGAACUGCAUUUUGAACUGGUAGACUAGAGUACUGUAGAGGGUGGUGGAAUUUCCAGUGUAGCGGUGAAAUGCGUAGAGAUUGGAAGGAACAUCAGUGGCGAAGGCGGCCACCUGGACAGAUACUGACGCUGAGGAACGAAAGCGUGGGGAGCGAACAGGAUUAGAUACCCUGGUAGUCCACGCCGUAAACGAUGUCAACUAGCCGUUUGUGUCCUUGAGACGUGAGUGGCGCANUAACGCACUAAGUUGACCGCCUGGGGAGUACGGCCGCAAGGUUAAAACUCAAAUGAAUUGACGGGGGCCGCACAAGCGGUGGAGCAUGUGGUUUAAUUCGAUGCAACGCGAAGAACCUUACCAUCCCUU
rnacentral:rRNA from 1 species